rnacentral:rRNA from 1 species
UCCCCUAGUAACGGCGAGUGAACAGGGAUUAGCCCAGCACCGAAGUCUGCNUCCGUUUGGGCGUUAGACAAUGUGGUGUUUAGGUUGGUGUUUUCGAAUGUUGCUCUGUUUAAAGUCCAUUCUUGAAUAUGGCUAAUAGUUUGGCCCAGAGAGGGUGAAAGGCCCGUGUGGACAGAGCGAUGUUUGACUGUGCUAACCAUGGAGUCGGGUUGUUUGAGAAUGCAGCCCAAAGUUGGUGGUAAACUCCAUCUAAGGCUAAAUACUGGCACGAGUCCGAUAGCGAACAAGUACCGUGAGGGAAAGUUGAAAAGUACUCUGAAGAGAGAGUUAACAGUGCGUGAAACCGCUUAGAAGCAAACGGGUGUAGUCAAGCUGCAAGCCUUAAGAAAUAGGUUGGUCAGAAUGGCGUGAGUCUGAGCAUACAGAGCUGCCAGGUAGGUCCGACUAUAUGUCGGGUUCGGCUCGCAAGAGUCGGAUUUGUGGAGCGUUUACGCGCUGCAUGCCUGCUUGUCAGUUGCUCUACUGGCCCUCUCAAUUUCUUUUGGCGUAUGUCACGACCGUCUUCGCUGUCGGUCUGCUCCAUUUAAACCGUUUCGUGAGUAGUUUCGUGCUGCUUGCGUUCUGGGGGCAGGUAGCUGAUCUAGUCUCGGCUGGAUUGGUGUAAUUGCUGAGUGGAGUGGUACCUGUAACUGUGCAGUAAGAUGGGGCUGGCGGUGCAUUGUUGCCGGGCGUGCGUGUGUUGUCGUGGUUGGCGUAUGGCUAUCUGUUGCUGUUAAUAACGGCCUGGUGGUUGCCCGAUUGCGGUGUCAUUCGUUACGUUUGGUCAAUCUUUGCGUUGUGCCUAUAGUCUGUGGCGUAGUGGUAGACGAUCCACCCGACCCGUCUUGAAACACGGACCAAGGAGUUUAACAUGUACGCGAGUCAAUGAGUCUAUACGAAACUCAUAGGCGAAGUGAAAGUAAAGGAUGGCUUUUCGCCAAUCUGAGGUGAGAUCUUGCUGUGUCACUGGUACCAUUGAUCGGACUUUUGAGCAGUAGGCGCAUCACCGGCCCGUCCCAUGGUGUAGUACGGUUUACUGUGCAGCACCGGGGCGGAGCAUGAGCGUGCAUGUUGAGACCCGAAAGAUGGUGAACUAUGCUUGCGCAGGUUGAAGCCGGAGGAAACUCUGGUGGAGGACCGUAGCGAUUCUGACGUGCAAAUCGAUCGUAUGAUGUGAGUAUAGGGGCGAAAGACUAAUCGAACCAUCUAGUAGCUGGUUCCCUCCGAAGUUUCCCUCAGGAUAGCUGGUGCUCGGAAUAUAAAACAGUUUUAUCCGGUAAAGCGAAUGAUUAGAGGUCUUGGGGCCUAAAUGGCCUCAACCUAUUCUCAAACUUUAAAUGGGUGAGAUGCUGGACUCGCUUAAUUGGAGUCUGGCUUUCGAAUGUGAGUACCAAGUGGGCCAUUUUUGGUAAGCAGAACUGGCGCUGUGGGAUGAACCAAACGCUCGGUUAAGGUGCCUAACACGACGCUCAUGAGAUACCACAAAAGGUGUUGGUUGAUAUAGACAGCAGGACGGUGGCCCUGGUAGUCGGAAUCCGCUAAGGAG